GACGAACGCUGGCGGCGUGCCUAAUACAUGCAAGUCGAACGAGAAAUUCUUACACCGGAUGCUUGCAUCCACCGUAAGAUUUCGAGUGGCGGACGGGUGAGUAACACGUGGGUAACCUGCCCAAAAGAAGGGGAUAACAUUUGGAAACAAGUGCUAAUACCGUAUAACCAUGAUGACCGCAUGGUCAUGAUGUAAAAGGUGGUUUUGCUAUCGCUUUUGGAUGGACCCGCGGCGUAUUAACUAGUUGGUAAGGUAACGGCUUACCAAGGUGAUGAUACGUAGCCGAACUGAGAGGUUGAUCGGCCACAAUGGGACUGAGACACGGCCCAUACUCCUACGGGAGGCAGCAGUAGGGAAUCUUCCACAAUGGGCGCAAGCCUGAUGGAGCAACGCCGCGUGAAUGAAGAAGGUCUUCGGAUCGUAAAACUCUGUUGUUAGAGAAGAACAAGGACGUUAGUAACUGAACGUCCCCUGACGGUAUCUAACCAGAAAGCCACGGCUAACUACGUGCCAGCCGCCGCCGUAACAC
rnacentral:rRNA from 1 species